AGAGUUUGAUCCUGGCUCAGGAUGAACGCUAGCGACAGGCUUAACACAUGCAAGUCGAGGGGCAGCAUGAUUUGUAGCAAUACAGAUUGAUGGCGACCGGCGCACGGGUGAGUAACGCGUAUGCAACUUACCUAUCAGAGGGGGAUAACCCGGCGAAAGUCGGACUAAUACCGCAUGAAGCAGGGGCCCCGCAUGGGGAUAUUUGCUAAAGAUUCAUCGCUGAUAGAUAGGCAUGCGUUCCAUUAGGCAGUUGGCGGGGUAACGGCCCACCAAACCGACGAUGGAUAGGGGUUCUGAGAGGAAGGUCCCCCACAUUGGUACUGAGACACGGACCAAACUCCUACGGGAGGCAGCAGUGAGGAAUAUUGGUCAAUGGCCGAGAGGCUGAACCAGCCAAGUCGCGUGAAGGAAGAAGGAUCUAUGGUUUGUAAACUUCUUUUAUAGGGGAAUAAAGUGGAGGACGUGUCCUUUUUUGUAUGUACCCUAUGAAUAAGCAUCGGCUAACUCCGUGCCAGCAGCCGCGGUAAUACGGAGGAUGCGAGCGUUAUCCGGAUUUAUUGGGUUUAAAGGGUGCGUAGGUGGUGAUUUAAGUCAGCGGUGAAAGUUUGUGGCUCAACCAUAAAAUUGCCGUUGAAACUGGGUUACUUGAGUGUGUUUGAGGUAGGCGGAAUGCGUGGUGUAGCGGUGAAAUGCAUAGAUAUCACGCAGAACUCCGAUUGCGAAGGCAGCUUACUAAACCAUAACUGACACUGAAGCACGAAAGCGUGGGGAUCAAACAGGAUUAGAUACCCUGGUAGUCCACGCAGUAAACGAUGAUUACUAGGAGUUUGCGAUACAAUGUAAGCUCUACAGCGAAAGCGUUAAGUAAUCCACCUGGGGAGUACGCCGGCAACGGUGAAACUCAAAGGAAUUGACGGGGGCCC
rnacentral:rRNA from 2 species